AAAACGCUGAAGUUACCCAGAGAGUUCCUGUUGGAGCAGAGGCUAGAAUUUGUGAUCCUGAUUUCUGGCUUGGUGCUUCUUAUUAACAGCAGGAUCCCCCCGCCCCGAGGGAAGCAGGACUCAGUGUUACAGCAGGGUCUUUGUGACCUGUAUCUGGCAAAACCUCCCCUGAGAUGCAAUUCAUUGGUUCCUGGGGUAACCAACCUGCCUCCCUGGCAGCCACUGACUCAUCCUGUGACGAAGAAUGCCUAACCUCCUGGGAAUGCAGCCCAGCAGGUCUCAGCCUCAUUUUGCGCAGCACCUGUUCAAGAUGGAGUCGCUCUGGUUCGAACACCUCUGACAGCUGCCCGACAAUGUGAAUGUACUUAAUGCCACUGAACUUACAAAUGAUUGAAAUGGUAAUUUUACGUUAUAGUACAUUUUACUACAGUAAAAAAUGUUUUAAAAAAGAAAUCAUUACUCUCUUGCUAAGAUCUUGUUUCAUCUUAACACACACGAGAUGCCUUGUCUUCAUUUCGUGGACAGGCAAGGCCGAAUUCCGUUUCACAGAUAGAGGACUGAGAUCUGGAGGCAGAGGGCAGGAAUUAAAAACAAGACAAACAAGAGCCUUAUACAGGCAGUGUCUUUCUGAGUCUGAUCCCUGUUGUCUUGAGAGCUGCGGUGAGGGAAAGUCGUCUUCAGAGCCCUCAGGGUCAAAGCAGUUUGUUACCCUUGAGAUAGACAAAGCUCCUAACCUCUCCAGCUUUUUGCCGACAGCUCGAUUCUGAUGGGCACUGACCUUUUCCGACCCUGUUUUCAGGAGCCGACUCCUGGCAGGUUGGUUGUAGGGGCCCUCUUGAGUGCUUCACACACAGCAGUCCUGUUGGGGUGAAGGUCACCGUCACUGUGAUAAUUGUUGUCGUCGUUGAAACCACCCAGCCCGAAAGCAGCAUGGGCUGUGCCCAGAGCCGCCGUGCCAGAAGCCCACGCUUAGAAAUAGAGGGCCGAAGACCAAAGAGGACUGCGGGUUCUUGGGCCAAACGUGACCCUCUCAAAUCCCCCAACUCGGGGAUUUCGUUAGCUGGGGACUGGUGUGCCCGGGUUCCAAGACCCCUGCGUAGACUCUGUCUAUAGGUGGAAGAAGGCCUUUGCCCCGAGGCAUCCAGAGGUAACGGUGAGAGGAACAAGGGCACGUGGGGGAUCCCACCACAGCCUCCCCUGAGACCCUCUUCACGCUGGUUGCAGGAGUAGCCAACCCCGCUCCCUGGCAGCCCGUGAGAUGCCACAUCCCCUCCAGCAGGGGGCGGCCGGCAUCGGUCCCGUCUUCCUAAACCGGCGUUGGUGGGAAAUGCCGGCACCAGCUCCCUCCCCGCUCCAGAGCCCUGUUUUCCCCAUUUGUAUUUCACUACUUUCCUGUUGAGCUUGGAUUCCAGCCUCAAAUUCCGCGAUUUGGCCGGCAUCCUAAUCCCCGAGUGACUCUUGCCAACCACUCUCUGUGGGGCCUGUGUGCUUCCUCCUGGGUUCUGGGGCGCUGGCGGCGUCCGCUUCACCGGGAACGGGAGCCCCAGCCUCCCGAGGCCUUCCUGCCUGGCUCUGGGAAUGGCCACUGUCCAGAAAGCCCCGCGGCCGUCCAUGCUCGCUCGCUCAGUCAGGCCCUUGUGGGGAUAUUGCAGAACGAGUCCGAGUUACUAUCCCUUUAAAUACAGGCGUUUCGGCCUAGCUGCCGCCGGUCCAAUCCGCAGCGCUUCCGUGCCCCACUUUCCCGCGUCAGCCUGGCUCCGGCCUCCACCAGGGGGUGCUAGUGAGAUCCCAGCCAGCCUCAGAGCUGAGCGUCCAGGGCCUUCAAAUGUCCCCAUCCUUGAAAAGGCAACUCCAGUGGCAUCUUCUGCGGGGAGACCAGAAGCAGCAUCUGACGAGGAGACAGCACUGGCGGUCCCGACACAACUGAAUCGGCAGGAUGAGGGCCCUUAGUGUUAGGCACCGGCGGAGCUGCAUCCCACCCCGUCUCGUCCCCUGAGAACAGCUGUGAGAAGCCGCCUAUUUUUCAUCGUUCUGCAACACACCUUUCCCUUCCUUGGGAUAUUUCUCCUCUUUCAGCAUUGCCGCAUCAGGGUUCCAAAGCCCCGUUUCUCUCCUAGUUCUUUCUUUGCUCAAGAAAAGCAGCUUGUCUGAUAAACUAAGCUAUGUAUGAUUCGCUGCCAGUACAGACUGAAAAACAAAAUAAACUCCCAAUUCACAGUCCUCCGUUGCGUAACAGUGAGCAGACGUUCUGAGAAAUGCAUCGUCAGGCAAUUGCAUCAUUGUGCAAACAAUAUAGAGUGUACUUACCCAAACCUAAACAGCACAGCCUACUACACACCCAGGCUGUAGGCUGUGCUUCUAGACUACAAACCUGUACAGUGUGGUACUGAACACUGUAGGCAACUGUAACACAAUGGUGUACCUAAUUCCUCUGCCUAGAAAGUGUGCUGGAAUUACUGCCUGGCUUCUGAUGAAUAGGGCGUAUUGAGAGUGAUGCUUUGUGAGUUCUGAGGCUAGGUCAUAGAAAGGAUUGAACUUAUUCCUGAAUGUUGCUCUUGGAUCACUUGCUUUUUUGGGAACCACCAGCCAUGUCAUGAGGACACUCAAGCAACCCUGCAGAGAAGCACAUGUGUGGAGAGGCACUUCUUGGAAAGGAGGCCAACUUGCCAGAACCAACUAAUUUGUCAUGUGAGUGAGUCAUUUUGGAAGCAGAUCCUCUACCCUCAGUCAGGCCUUCCGAUGAUUUCAGCCCCCAGCCUUUGAGUCUGCCCCAAACACCAUGAGUAGAGACAAGCCCUUCCCACUGUGUCCACCCUGGCUGAAUUCCAGACCGUUAAAAAAACAAGAGAAAAUAAAUUAUUAUUAGUGUUUUGAGUCACUAAGUUUUGGACUAAUUUGUUAUGCAGCAAUAGCUAACAACUACAGAGUCAUAACACAAACUAAAAUUAAUUCUAAGGCAUGUUAAAGAUUUAUAUGAAAGCAUUCAUCUAAUGGAGGUGUGCAAGAAGUGGCUAUAAAAAAUUUAGGGCACCCAAAAGCAACCUGUAGGCUGAGCAGGGUAAGUACAUCUGCAAGAGCAGCCAGAUGGCUAGUUGGUCCCUGUGUGCAGCCUCUCUACCCACCCAUGGUAUAGGUCCAGGAAUGGAACUGUUUAGCUUCCCUAGGAAACAAUGAAUGUGGUGCUUGCAUUGUGUUGCUGACACCAUCAGAGAGGAAAUGGAAGUCCCAGUGUCCAGAAGCUAAACAGAAACACACACACACAAAAGACAGAAGGAAAGAAAAAAAGGGCCAAAAUAUCCCACAACAAAGGGAAAUAUAGUCAUGAUACAUGCUUAACUUCAGAAAAGACUUAUAUAAUAAUUAUAUCAAAAUCAUA
rnacentral:lncRNA from 1 species